CAAGUCGAGGGGCAGCAUGAACUUAGCUUGCUAAGUUUGAUGGCGACCGGCGCACGGGUGAGUAACGCGUAUCCAACCUGCCGAUGACUCGGGGAUAGCCUUUCGAAAGAAAGAUUAAUAUCCGAUAGUAUAUUAAAACCGCAUGGUUUUACUAUUAAAGAAUUUCGGUCAUCGAUGGGGAUGCGUUCCAUUAGGUUGUUGGCGGGGUAACGGCCCACCAAGCCUUCGAUGGAUAGGGGUUCUGAGAGGAAGGUCCCCACAUUGGAACUGAGACACGGUCCAAACUCC
rnacentral:rRNA from 1 species